UCUGAUCUCAAAUCAGGNAGGACUACCCGCUGAACUAANCU
rnacentral:rRNA from 1 species